CCCUAUCCCAGCUCACUCUGUGAGCGCGUGGUCCUGGUCGCGAGCACAUGGAAGUGAGCUCGAGUUGAGACGCGUCUCUGACCAUCACCAUCGUGAAAACAUUAGUAAAAAAAAAACCCGGAAUAUGACCACAAAGAUGGAGCUUCAGGAGCUGAGACACAGCAGCGGGUUUUUAAACUAAAUCUUCCUCUAAGAUGCACGAGCAGGCAACGGCUGCUGCUGCUGGGGCCGCAGAAGCUCACCGCUGUGGAUCCAAUUAACUCACAAUUGAGGAUUUUGGACUAAAUAGGAAAGAUGCAAAGAUGGAAGCAGACUGUGUUGGAUUCAGUUUCACAGCAUCUUUUAGAAGCAUACGUGUACACACAAAUGAGUUUUAAUAGUACCUACUUCCCCUUUCUUUGACAGGACACAGAUACACCCCUGACUGGGCCCCCCUGUGGUUCAUUGAGUUUGGGAAGUACCUAGUAGUACAACUGCCACUGUUGCUCUUAAAGGGCCAGCAGGGUGUUUUAUUUACCAGAAGUCAUAUUGUUGAAUGUUUGAAACUUUUUAGCUUACAUUUAGGUGUGUUGUGUAUAACUGAUGUGGUCAUGAGGACUUUGAUAUUUGAGACCUGGAAAUCAAGACGCGACUAUAUAUGGACGCAAGUGAAAAAGGGGAGGGACUUGCUUUGCAGCCAAUUCUAAACCUAUGUACAUUUUUAAAAAAUUGCCUAUUUACACCAUUUUUGUAGCUCAUUUUAGGCACUUGUUACUGUUAAAUGUUGGAAAAAGGUGCACACUUUUAUGAAUAAAAUUGUCAGUAUAGCAGAAUCAUCAUUGCUUUGUUUUUAUGUUUGUAUCCAGUUAAUCAAGGAAGCCUGUGAAGUCACCUGAAGACCAGCUAGUGCUGCUUACAGGGGAAAACCUUUCACUCUACUUAUGAGCCACUUGUACUUUUUAACAGAUCAUUUUACACCCACAAGACACCUUACUGCAGAAUUUCAGUGUUGUUGUUUUUACAUGUGAUUAACAGCUGAGUCAGCGGCACCAAUUCCCAUCAACAAGAUGUCUGAUGAGAUAUUUUAAGAUAAAUGUGAAAGAUGAUCAAUUUAGGGAAAAAGUGAGUGAAACAGAGCAUGUACACCAUCGAAAAUGUUGAGGAAAAACAUGCAGUAAAGCUGUUAGAGCCCGAUAGAGGUUGCAUGUUACGACUGUUGUUGACAGCAUCGACUGCCUUAUUGGUUUAAGUGUCUGGGUUUAGUGCACCACAAACCAAAAGUGGGUUAUUUUCUCAUGUCGUGAAUCCUGAAAACACCCCAGUUAUGUAAUCUACACAUUUGCCCGAACAUUUCUGAGAAUGUUUAAAAUGAAACCGAAGGUAAAAGAAUGAAAAACCGUAAGUUUGAGAACCGUAAAGCUGAAAUAGUUAUGCAUGCACUGUUCUUCUGCACAACAGCGAAUAAAUAGCGAUACAAAAUCUUUCACUCUCAGUUUCAAUCUUAAAAUUUAAUUGUCACGUUGACUUCCGUGGAUUGUGUGCCUGAAGCGGUCUGUUUACAGGUGGAGGUCUGAGGGCUACCUGGGCAGCAGCUCCCCCUAGUGGUGAACAUGGCAAUCUAAUUUCAACUUUACAUAAGCAGGCGGAAAAAAAAAUUAACAAGCAGAGAUGCUUUGUGAACUUAUUAAAGCUGUUAAAGAGGAGGGCAAGAACUAAAUAACACGACUGGAUACAGAGCUCCACUUGUUGAUUUUUUUUUCACGCAAGCUAACUUCAGUACUGUAGCACAGCUAGCUUAUACUGGAAGUUAGAAAAGUAGAAAUGGGAUUGUUUUUAUGCCACUUUCUAUAUAGUAACAAGUAGAGUCAAAUAUGUUUAUUAAAGAUUGAGGUUUUAGACACCAGCAUAAAAAUAUGUACUGUUAAGGAGUUUUAAGUUGCAUAUGGACAAUUCAGAGAAUUAAGAACUAUUUCCCACUAGUAAUAAUUAGAAGAAUGCAUCCUGAAUUGACUCACAACUUCUUUAGGAGAAAUGAUUGCCUUACAGUUUCUCUAUUAUAUAUUUGUUUGUAUAACAGAAAUGAGUAAAAAACAAAAAGCUGAAAUUCAAAAGUUUAUCUGCUUAGACAAGAAGUAGCCACCUUAAAACCAAAUAUCUGAACACUGGCUAGUUGUGAUUGUUUUUCAGUUUCUGAAAGUUGUAAAAUCUUUACAUUUCAUAAUCUUUGAAAAACAUAUUUCCAAAGCACAUUCUUAUUUAAUAUUUUAAAUGUAAUUCUUCUUUUUCUUAGCUGGUAUCACUUGUUUCAUUCUGGGAUUCGUUGGUCUGUCUGGGGAGUUCAGGUGUCACUGUGGUGUGGCAAAACUACAAAUCGCAUUAUGCAAAGAAAAAAAUGACUCAUCUCAGAAAUCAUUUGUGUCAAUAAAUUCUGCUCUUCUCUAUAAACCUAGAGAAGAAUCUGGCUCCUUAAACCGAGUUACUGCCUUAAAACUGCAAGUUCAGACAAUUAAAAUCAAAACGUUAUUGUUAAAUUAGCCACUACUUUCCCCUUUAUCAUCAACAAGUGGGUAGGGUUUGCUUUGAAAACAGGGAUUACAAUUGGCUUAAACCUGUUGUUAUUAAACUUAAAAUAUACUAAAGGUACUUUCAUUUUUUAAAUUGAACUCCCACUCCCUUUUCUUAUCUCAAGUAAGUUAAGCAUGAGUCAUUGAAGUUUUAACUUAAUUUCUGUAAUUCAUAUAGGUCUUAAAUUUAACACAUAAUGAUAUGAAUAGUAUUCAACUGAAACUGGGGAAAACCAUGUCUUGUUUUGGUUUUAGCUCGAACAUGUUAAAAUGUUCAGCAAAGGAAAAAUCCCCCUGAGUAACACUAAUAAGAAACAAAACUGAAGAACAUCAAAGUCAAGUUACAGAUAAACAGGCUGAAAAUUGACCUUCAAAACACAAAUGUUUUAGAAGUUGCACUAGAUUUAGAUUUUAGGCUAAAUGGUGCACAAAUUAAAGCUAGGUCACAAUAGCUAAUAUAAGCUAAGCUAACUUAUCUAAUCAAACAAAAACAUGUAACUACCCCGGAUGAAUUUAAUAAUCAUAUGCUGCUAGUAAUGUUUUAAGAUCUUAUGACAUAUUUUUUAAGUCAAAAAGUGGGAAAAAAUAUUAUAUUACUGGAUGCAUCAUUAAGAAUAUUAAUGCUAAACUAACUUAGCUUAUCUAAAAUACGUUAGCUUAGAUAAAUUAUUGUAAGCGAACCUAGCUUAGAUUAUUAAGUAAACUCGUUUACAUUUACUAGUUCCUAAAAUCCGAUUUGUAACAUUUUGUGAAAUUUGACAAGCUUGUUUUGUGUAAACUAUUAGCAUGGAGUUCUUAUGCUAAAGUGACUUUUGAUCACAGUUUAUAUCAAAGAGAUUGAAGUUGUUCUUUAGUUGGUUUGUGGUCAUUUGACUGUCAGGUAUUCUUCAGGUUUGGCAGUACAGUACACCAGGUGUAAGCCAUCUAAUAGAUUUUAAAAACCUUAUCUUUGGCUAGCCUCCAGAAACUCUUAGAUGUGGUCAGCUGAGCAAAGGAAAGCUCAUUAGACUGGAUAUUGCUCCAUGUCACUUUUUAUCACGCUUUCUCUUGUACCUUGGUCCCUCCUUUGCAUGCUUCAACUUUCUUUGGAAAACACUCACCCAGGGCACUUUUGCCUGUUCUGAGAAGACUCAUGCGAACACACACUGUGCCAGGUCAAGCUUUUUGAUUCUGACUUCUGCUCGCUUUCAUGUUGGGAUCAGGAGGUGCGGGAAGGAGGUUAAACAAACACAAAGCUCAUUAAAAUAAACCUCUGUCAACUCCCACUCUCUUUUUUUUUUCACUGCUGUACAGGAAUGUGCUGUCAGGCGUCACAACCCACGCAUAACUGCUGCAGGACUCCAGGUAAUGAAUGAACUGGGGAUGUCCACCCAGUAAGCAGAGCACAAAGACAACUGGUAAAGAACUUUCCCAUCCCUGCUGAAGAAAAGCAUCCCCACAUGAUGAUGCUGUCACCUCCAUCUGUGACUGUGGGGUGAUGUGUUCAGAGUAGUGCAGAGUAUUAGGGUGUUUUACUUCAGGGAAACGUCUGACUUCAUCGUUAGUGUUCACGCCCUCGGCCUUUUGAUGUGACUGCUCUGUUUGUUCACCAGCGCCAGCGGUCUGCUCUCUCCCAUUCAGCUAUCGACUCACUUGUUAAACUCCCACCCGGCCACACACACACACACCCCGACGCACGCAUGCAUACACACAUGCUGGUUGGGCUCCACCAGUGGCAUUGUUUGCAUUUAACACCAAGAGGUGAGAGGCGUUCAACCUCGUUUGCACAUCACGUGUCACAGCCACUGCCUGCAGGGCUCAGAUCAGUCAUAUGUGAGCUGUCAUAACCCCCCGAAGCAAAGAAACUGCAGAUUAAAAAGAGUCCCGACUUGUUGCAGGAAAGGCCUGUUGAGUGGCAGAAAAUCUUAUAAAGGAAUCCAUAAAAACUGACUGCAAGAAAACCGCUCCUCUAAAUACUCCUCCUGAUUGCUGCCUGAUGAACUCCAGCUGCAACCAAUCCGGCUGUCACACCCUGGAGAGAGAGAAGGUGGUUUGAAUCUUUUUCCAGAUGGAUGGAGCUCAGAUUCUCCAUGAAGUGGAUAAUAAGGAGACUGGAGAUUGUCUUUCACUCCGACUGAUCAAGCAACUGAUCAGGUUCGAAAUCUGGGACAGUGAUGGACUUUGACCUGAGCCUCCAGAAACAUGUUAAAAUGGUGGAGAUGACGGCUGACUUCAGAGAACAUCAUCUACGCUGCUUUCUCAUCCUGAACAACUCUGAAGAUUUUUUCUAGUUACUUUGGAACCAUCUUAUCUCUGUGGUCCUCACACAUUAACACCAUUCAGAAGAAAUCCCAGCAGAGACUGGUACAAGAAGUACAACCUACUGAAAGAGCUGCUGGACUUCUUCUUUUUCCUGUGCACAUCCAUCACUGAGUGGUUUGGCUCAUCCACAAACAGUACAGAACCAGAGCACUUAACUGGGAGAGGAUCAUCAAGGCUGGUAUCCUUUUAAUAGUACCUAAAGGUGGUGGACUGGGAUACCUUCUAAAAUAUAUACACAAAUCUUUGGUUUUUGUGACAUGUAAGUUUUAAGUCUUGCAAUAAAAUCUUCCACCCCCUAA